AUUGAACGCUGGCGGCAGGCCUAACACAUGCAAGUCGAGCGGAGCGGCGGACGGGUGAGUAAUGACUAGGAAUCUGCCUGGUAGUAGGGGAUAACGUCCGGAAACGGGCGCUAAUACCGCAUACAAUCAGAUGAGCCUAGGUCGGAUGCAGUAGUGAGUGGGGUAAAGGCCUACCAAGGCGACGAUCCGUAACUGGUCUGAGAGGAUGAUCAGUCACACUGGAACUGCGACACGGUCCAGACUCCUACGGGAGGCAGCAGUGGGGAAUAGUGGACAAUGGGCGAAAGCCUGAUCCAGCCAUGCCGCGUGUGUGAAGAAGGUCUUCGGAUUGUAAAGCUCUUUAAGUUGGGAGGCGUUACCAACAGAAUAAGCACCGGCUAACUUCGUGCCAGCAGCCGCGGUAAUAC
rnacentral:rRNA from 1 species